rnacentral:tRNA from 1 species
GCCACUGUGGUGGAAAUGGUAGACACAGCAGAUUUAAAAUCUGUGGGCGGUAUCGCUAUAUGAGUUCAAGUCUCAUCAGGGGCA